rnacentral:rRNA from 1 species
UGCCCGGUAGCUAAAUGCGGAAGAGAUAAGUGCUGAAAGCAUCUAAGCACGAAACUUGCCCCGAGAUGAGUUCUCCCUGAGACUUUAAGUCUCCUGAAGGAACGUUAAAGACGAUGACGUUGAUAGGCCGGGUGUGUAAGCGUAGCGAUACGUUGAGCUAACCGGUACUAAUGAACCGUGAGGCUUAACCUU